UAGCUGUAGCUCAGUUGGUUGGAGCGCUGCACCGGAAUCGCAGGGCCGUAGGUUCAAUUCCUACCAGAG
rnacentral:tRNA from 1 species